GCGUUGGUAGUGCAUCGGUUCAGCACGCGCUCCCGGAAAGAGUGAGGUCUGAGUUCGAAUCCCGGCUGACCAAAUGUCUUUGCA